rnacentral:rRNA from 1 species
GAUUAACGCUGGCGGCGUGCCUAAGUAUAUGCAAGUCGUAGAGCAGUUCGGCUGCUCGGCGGACGGGUGAGUAACGCGUUGAUAUCUACCCCAAAGUCAGGGAUACCCCCGGGAAACUGGGAAUAAUACCUGAUAGUCCCUGAUAGGUUUAUGCCUCAUCAGGGUAAAACUCCGGUGCUUUGGGAAGAGUCUGCGUGCUAUCAGCUUGUUGGUGAGGUAAUGGCUCACCAAGGCUAUGACGGCUAGGGGACGUGAGAGCGUGACCCCCCACAAUGGGACUGAGACACGGCCCAUACUCCUACGGGAGGCAGCAAUUUGGAAUAUUGCACAAUGCCCGAAAGGGUGAUGCAGCGACGCCGCAUGGACGAAGAAGGCCUUCGGGUUGUAAAGUCCUAAAACAGAGGAGUAAAUCUUGAAUUAACUCUGUUAUUAGUCCUGACUAACUAUGUGCCAGCAGUCGCGGUAAUACAUAGAGGGCAAGCGUUAUCCGGAAUCACUGGGCAUAAAGGGUGCGUAGGCGUUCCAGUAAGUCUUUGGUUAAAUCUUUCCGCCUAACGGAAAGACUGCCAGAGAAACUGCUGGAAUAGAGGCAGGUAGGGGCAGACGGAACUAAUGGUGUAGGGGUGAAAUCCGUUGAUAUCAUUGGGAACACCGAAAGCGAAGGCAGUCUGCUAGGCCUGUUCUGACGCUGAGGCACGAAAGCGUGGGUAGCGAAUCGGAUUAGAUACCCGAGUAGUCCACGCCGUAAACGAUGAUCACUAGAGAUCAGAUGGCAUCGACCCCACUGGUCUCGAAGCUAAUGCGUUAAGUGAUCCGCCUGGGAAGUACGCCCGCAAGGGUGAAACUCAAAGGAAUUGACGGGAACCCACACAAGCGGUGGAGCGUGUGGUUUAAUUCGACAAUAAGCGAAGAACCUUACCAGGGCUUGACAUCUCUGGAAUCUCCGAGAAACCGGAGAGUGCCCUUCGGGGAGCCAGAAGACAGGUGUUGCAUGGCUGUCGUCAGCUCGUGUUGUGAAAUGUUGGGUUAAGUCCCUGAACGAGCGCAACCCUUGCUCUAUGUUAAAUUUGUCAUAGAGGACUGCCGUGGUCAACACGGAGGAAGGUGAGGAUGACGUCAAGUCAGCAUGGCCCUUAUGCCCUGGGCGACACACGCGCUACAAUGGUGCAGACAAAGGGUUUUGCCAAACCGCGAGGUGGAGCUAAUCCCCAAAAUGCACCCCAGUACGGAUUGGAGUCUGCAACCCGACUCCAUGAAGAUGGAAUCGCUAGUAACCGUGGGUCAGCCACAUCACGGUGAAUAUGUUCCUGGGUUUUGUACACACCGCCCGUCAUGUCAAAGAAGCUGGUGGCACUGGAUAUUCCGCCAAUUCGGCGGAACGAAGGUGAAACCAGUGACUGGG